rnacentral:rRNA from 1 species
AAACUCAAAGGAAUUGACGGGGACCCGCACAAGCGGUGGAGCAUGUGGUUUAAUUCGAAGCAACGCGAAGAACCUUACCAAGUCUUGACAUCGGAAUGACCGGUCCGUAACGGGGCCUUCCCUACGGGGCAUUCCAGACAGGUGGUGCAUGGUUGUCGUCAGCUCGUGUCGUGAGAUGUUGGGUUAAGUCCCGCAACGAGCGCAACCCUUAUCCUUAGUAGCCAGCAGUUCGGCUGGGCACUCUGGGGAGACUGCCAGGGAUAACCUGGAGGAAGGUGGGGAUGACGUCAAAUCAUCAUGCCCCUUAUGAUUUGGGCUACACACGUGCUACAAUGGCGUAAACAAAGGGAAGCGAAGGAGUGAUCCGGAGCAAAUCUCAAAAAUAACGUCUCAGUUCGGAUUGUAGUCUGCAACUCGACUACAUGAAGCUGGAAUCGCUAGUAAUCGCGGAUCAGAAUGCCGCGGUGAAUACGUUCCCGGGUCUUGUACACACCGCCCGUCACACCAUGGGAGUUGGUAACGCCCGAAGUCAGUGACCCAACCGUAAGGAGGGAGCUGCCGAAGGCGGGACUGAUAACUGGGGUGAAGUCGUAACAAGGUAGCCGUAUCGGAAGGUGCGGCUGGAUCACCUCCUUUAUG